GAUCCAAUUAGCUUGAGAAAAAUGUUCACUCUUGCUUAUGUGAAGCUUGGGUAAGGUUGUGAAUAGAUAAUUGGAGCUUGAAAUUGUGAAUACUGGAACUUGGAGGAAACAGAUUAGUUGAGAUUUUGAGGGCUGUGUUCUUUUAGAAAAAUUGUCUUGGAAUAAUACUUUGAAAUCGGCUAAGAUGCAGGUCGGGAGCCAUCUCGUUAGGCGUCUGGACUCUUAAAGCGGAGGGGUAUUGGAUAGUGUUGUUGUAUAGUUUUGUUGUACAGUGAUGUAGAUAUAUGUACUUAGCUUUCUCUCCGCAUAACUUGUCCUUUUUGAUCCUCUUAGAGGUUUAUGGAGAGGCAGGAUUGUGUGUAUGUACUUUU